UACGUAGGGUGCAAGCGUUAAUCGGAAUUACUGGGCGUAAAGCGUGCGCAGGCGGUUAUGUAAGACAGGUGUGAAAUCCCCGGGCUUAACCUGGGAACUGCAUUUGUGACUGCAUAGCUAGAGUACGGUAGAGGGGGAUGGAAUUCCGCGUGUAGCAGUGAAAUGCGUAGAUAUGCGGAGGAACACCGAUGGCGAAGGCAGCCCCCUGGGCUGAGAUUGACGCUCAGGCACGAAAGCGUGGGGAGCAAACAGG
rnacentral:rRNA from 1 species